UACGAAGGGGGCUAGCGUUGCUCGGAAUUACUGGGCGUAAAGGGAGCGUAGGCGGACAUUUAAGUCAGAGGUGAAAUCCCGGAGCUUAACUUCGGAACUGCCUUUGAUACUGGGUGUCUUGAGUGUGAGAGAGGUAUGUGGAACUCCGAGUGUAGAGGUGAAAUUCGUAGAUAUUCGGAAGAACACCAGUGGCGAAGGCGACAUACUGGCUCAUUACUGACGCUGAGGCGCGAAAGCGUGGGGAGCAAACAGG
rnacentral:rRNA from 1 species